CGAGAGCUAGGUUAAAAAUAAACUUCGGGUUUCCAAAACCUGGGAUGGGGAAGCAUUCUUCGCUCUUGG